rnacentral:rRNA from 1 species
UACGUAGGGUGCGAGCGUUAAUCGGAAUUACUGGGCGUAAAGCGUGCGCAGGCGGUUCGUUGCGUCGGCGGUGAAAGCCCCGGGCUUAACCUGGGAAUGGCCGUUGAAACUGGCGAACUGGAGUGUGGCAGAGGGGGGUGGAAUUCCGCGUGUAGCAGUGAAAUGCGUAGAGAUGCGGAGGAACACCGAUGGCGAAGGCAGCCCCCUGGGCUAACACUGACGCUCAGGCACGAAAGCGUGGGGAGCAAACAGG